UACGGAGGGAGCUAGCGUUGUUCGGAAUUACUGGGCGUAAAGCGCGCGUAGGCGGCUUUGUAAGUUAGAGGUGAAAGCCCGGAGCUCAACUCCGGAAUUGCCUUUGAUACUGCAUCGCUUGAAUCCGGGAGAGGUGAGUGGAAUUCCGAGUGUAGAGGUGAAAUUCGUAGAUAUUCGGAAGAACACCAGUGGCGAAGGCGACUUACUGGACACAUAUUGACGCUGAGGUGCGAAAGCGUGGGGAGCAAACAGG
rnacentral:rRNA from 1 species